rnacentral:rRNA from 1 species
UAUUAUGAGAGUUUGAUCCUGGCUCAGGACGAACGCUGGCGGCGUGCCUAAUACAUGCAAGUCGAACGCUUCUUUUC